GCAGCCUGAUCUAGCCAUGCCGCGUGUGUGAUGAAGGUCUUAGGAUCGUAAAGCACUUUCGCCAGGGAUGAUAAUGACAGUACCUGGUAAAGAAACCCCGGCUAACUCCGUGCCAGCAGCCGCGGUAAUACGGAGGGGGUUAGCGUUGUUCGGAAUUACUGGGCGUAAAGCGUACGUAGGCGGAUUGGAAAGUUGGGGGUGAAAUCCCAGGGCUCAACCCUGGAACUGCCUCCAAAACUAUCAGUCUAGAGUUCGAGAGAGGUGAGUGGAAUUCCAAGUGUAGAGGUGAAAUUCGUAGAUAUUUGGAGGAACACCAGUGGCGAAGGCGGCUCACUGGCUCGAUACUGACGCUGAGGUACGAAAGUGUGGGGAGCAAACAGGAUUAGAUACCCUGGUAGUCCACACCGUAAACGAUGAAUGCCAGUCGUCGGGCAGUAUACUGUUCGGUGACACACCUAACGGAUUAAGCAUUCCGCCUGGGGAGUACGGUCGCAAGAUUAAAACUCAAAUG
rnacentral:rRNA from 1 species